rnacentral:tRNA from 1 species
GGAGGAUUGCCUGAGCUGGACAAAGGGCGCUCGUUGGAAACGAGAUGGUCGCGCAAGCGGCACGAAGGUUCGAAUCCUUCAUCCUCCG